AACAAACAUGUUGGUGUCACAGAAGCUAGAUUCCGUCACCUAGGAGGUGUUGCGAAACGGACAAAAAAGACAAGCGUAGGACUUUUCCCAGCUUGUGGAGCUCCUCCUUCUAAGGGAAAGCCUCCUUAUAAGAAACACAAUAAAGCCUUGUAGACUCGUUCCUCCAAGACCUCCUGGUUUACAUUAAUUCGUGCUCUUGCUACACGACUUAGCAGCGUUGUAUAUGAACCUAUUCAUUCUAUUCCAGAAAGAAUUUGCCCAUCACUUUUUUCAAAAAAAAAAAGAAUUUUCCCAUCACGAUAUAAUGUAAUUCCAAUCACUAACUAGUAACGAUAUAAGAUAAGGAAAAUUAAUAUAUGAGAGCUUUACACUCUAA